rnacentral:rRNA from 1 species
UACGUAGGGUGCAGGCGUUAAUCGGAAUUACUGGGCGUAAAGCGUGCGCAGGCGGUUUCUUAAGUCAGAUGUGAAAGCCCCGGGCUUAACCUGGGAACUGCGUUUGAAACUGGGAGACUUGAGUGCGGCAGAGGGGGAUGGAAUUCCGCGUGUAGCAGUGAAAUGCGUAGAUAUGCGGAGGAACACCGAUGGCGAAGGCAAUCCCCUGGGCCUGCACUGACGCUCAUGCACGAAAGCGUGGGGAGCAAACAGG